CUACGGGCGGCAGCAGCUGCGAAUCUUUUACAAUGCACGCAAGUGUGAUAAAGCGAGCCAAAGUGCUUAACUUUUUGUUAAGCUUUUCUUUAGCGUAAAUACCUAGAGGAAUAAGGACUGGGAAAGACCGGUGCCAGCCGCCGCGGUAAUACCGGCAGUUCAAGUCGCAUCCACUUUUAUUGGGUCUAAAACAUCCGUAGCUUGUUUAUUAAGUCUCUUGUGAAAUCCUACGUCUCAAGUGUGGGGCUUGCAGGAGAUACUGAUAAACUUCGAGAUCGGUAGACGUAAGGAGUACGGAGGAGGUAACGGUUAAAUGUGUUAAUCUCCUCUGGACUAACAAUUUAGCGAAGGCACCUUACGAGGACGAAUCUGACAGUGAGGGAUGAAGGCCAGGGGCGCAAAACGGAUUAGAUACCCCCGUAGUC
rnacentral:rRNA from 1 species